rnacentral:rRNA from 1 species
UACGUAGGGUGCAAGCGUUGUCCGGAAUUAUUGGGCGUAAAGAGCUCGUAGGCGGUUUGUCGCGUCUGCUGUGAAAACUCGGGGCUUAACCUCGGGUCUGCAGUCGAUACGGGCAAACUAGAGUAUUGCAGGGGAGACUGGAAUUCCUGGUGUAGCGGUGAAAUGCGCAGAUAUCAGGAGGAACACCGGUGGCGAAGGCGGGUCUCUGGGCAAUAACUGACGCUGAGGAGCGAAAGCGUGGGGAGCGAACAGG